rnacentral:rRNA from 1 species
GAUGAACGCUGACAGAAUGCUUAACACAUGCAAGUCGAUUCGAUUUACCUUCGGGUAUUGAGGAUGGCGGACGGGUGAGUAACGCGUAAGGAACUUGCCUCUUGGUCUGGGACAACUGUUGGAAACGACAGCUAAUACCGGAUAUUAUGAGAUUCUCGCAUGGGAAACUUAUGAAAGCUAUAUGCGCCAAGAGAGAGCCUUGCGUUCCAUUAGCUAGUUGGUGGGGUAACGGCCCACCAAGGCGACGAUGGAUAGCCGGCCUGAGAGGGUGAACGGCCACAAGGGGACUGAGACACGGCCCUUACUCCUACGGGAGGCAGCAGUGGGGAAUAUUGGACAAUGGGCCACAAGCCUGAUCCAGCAAUUCUGUGUGCACGAUGAAGGUCUUCGGAUUGUAAAGUGCUUUCAGUUGGGAAGAAGAAAGUGACGGUACCAACAGAAGAAGCGACGGCUAAAUACGUGCCAGCAGCCGCGGUAAUACGUAUGUCGCAAGCGUUAUCCGGAUUUAUUGGGCGUAAAGCGCGUCUAGGCGGAAAAAUAAGUCUGAUGUUAAAAUGCGGGGCUCAACUCCGUAUUGCGUUGGAAACUGUUUUUCUAGAGUACUGGAGAGGUGGGCGGAACUACAAGUGUAGAGGUGAAAUUCGUAGAUAUUUGUAGGAAUGCCGAUGGAGAAGUCAGCUCACUGGACAGANACUGACGCUAAAGCGCGAAAGCGUGGGGAGCAAACAGGAUUAGAUACCCUGGUAGUCCACGCCGUANCGAUGAUCACUA